AUUGAACGCUGGCGGCAUGCCUAACACAUGCAAGUCGAACGGCAGCACAGUAAAGACUUCGGUCUUUAUGGGUGGCGAGUGGCGGACGGGUGAGUAACGCGUAGGAAUCUGUCCUGGGGAGUGGGAUAACCCGAGGAAACUCGGGCUAAUACCGCAUGAUAUCGAGAGAUCAAAAGCAGGGGACCCUUCGGGGCCUUGCGCCCUAGGAUGAGCCUACGUCGGAUUAGCUAGUUGGUGGGGUAAAGGCCUACCAAGGCGACGAUCCGUAGCUGGUCUGAGAGGAUGACCAGCCACACUGGGACUGAGACACGGCCCAGACUCCUACGGGAGGCAGCAGUGGGGAAUAUUGGGCAAUGGGCGAAAGCCUGACCCAGCGACGCCGUGUGGGCGAUGAAGGCCUUCGGGUUGUAAAGCCCUGUGAGGUGGAAAGAAGGGUCCAGAGGUUAAUACCCUUUGGACUUUGACGGUACCACCAGAGGAAGCACCGGCUAACUCCGUGCCAGCAGCCGCAGUAA
rnacentral:rRNA from 1 species